CCGCGGCUGGCUGAGGCCCAGCUGGCUGGGUAAUGAGGUCUAGGGCCCUGAGGCCCCUCCUCAGCACUGGGGGCCCGAGACCCCAAGAAGAAAGGCACCUGCCCAUUUAGCCAUGCGCCUGUUCUGCAGGGCGGGCAGGGGGCCUCCCGGAGGUCCUCGGUCAAGAUGACACACAGCUCUCAUGUCCUCCUGGGCUUCCUGACAAUAGCGUCACUGUCCUUGUGGGAUCCCAGGUGAUGGUGACACUGUAUGAGGACUUCUCGGCUCCCCCAUUGACAUACAUCAAAAGCCAUCAUCACCUCCUGGCUGAG
rnacentral:lncRNA from 1 species